rnacentral:rRNA from 1 species
UACAGGGGGUGCAACCGUUGCUCGGAAUUAUUGGGCGUAAAGCGCGCGUAGGCGGCUACUUAAGUCGGAUGUGAAAGCCCUUGGCUCAACUGAGGAAGUGCACCCGAAACUGAGUGGCUAGAGUACGAAAGAGGGUCGCGGAAUUCCCGGUGUAGAGGUGAAAUUCGUAGAUAUCGGGAGGAACACCGGUGGCGAAGGCGGCGACCUGGGUCGAUACUGACGCUGAUGCGCGAAAGCGUGGGGAGCAAACAGG